CCCUUGGAUGUUCUGGGCUGCACGCGCGCUACACUGAUGCACUCAACGAGUUUUCGACCUUGUCCGAGAGGAUUGGGUAAUCUUUUUAAAAUGCAUCGUGAUGGGGAUAGAUUAUUGCAAUUAUUAAUCUUCAACGAGGAAUGCCUAGUAAACGCAAGUCAUCAGCUUGCAUUGAUUACGUCCCUGCCCUUUGUACACACCGCCCGUCGCUCCUACCGAUUGAAUGAUCCGAUGAAUAUCAUGGAUUGAGGAUGCAAGUAGGUUCGCCUAUCUUCAUCUUCGAGAAGUGAAGUAAAUCUUAUCAUUUAGAGGAAGGAGAAGUCGUAACA
rnacentral:rRNA from 1 species